AUAAUAAUUGCAUUUAUUGGGUUCCAUUUGGUUUAAAUUGAAUAUUCUCAACAAAUUGAAACACAAAUACACAAGAAAGUUGAAUGGAAUUGCGCGCUAUAGCGCGAAAUUGUGGGCAAGUAAAAUCCCCUUGCGAUGGAAACCCUAUUCAAAAUAUGUAUUUGAAGGGUAAAAACAAACAAGGAGAAGAAAAAAAAUUUAGUCAUUUAAAAAAAGGAUUUUUUUUCCAGAUAAAGGAGCCAAAACAGGAAACCUCGUUUUCAGAGUUUUAGAUGAAGAUAAAAGUGGAUUUCUAAAUUUUAGAGAAUUCCUUCAGGCAAUUGAUCUUGUGGGCGCAAAAACAGCUGAGGAUAAACUACGCUGGGCGUUUAAGAUGUAUGAUGAAGAUAAUUCAAGAAUGAUUGAUUUAAAGGAGAUGAUUAAUGUAAUGGAGUAUAUCUAUGUAAUGUUGGAUGGUGCAGGGUUAAGACCUGAAAACGACGACCCAGCUGAAAGAGCCCGAUGUGUGUUUGUG